AGGCAUAGCGCCUGUGCUUUUCGGUACCGUAAGGUGGUACCAGAAUAAGGGCUGGGCAAGACCGGUGCCAGCCGCCGCGGUAAUACCGGCAGCCCAAGUGAUGGCCGAUGUUAUUGGGCCUAAAGCGUCCGUAGCCGGCCGAGCAAGUCCGUCGGGAAAUCCAGCAGCUCAACUGCUGGGCGUCCGGCGGAAACUGUUCGGCUUGGGACCGGAAGACCCGAGGGGUACGUCCGGGGUAGGAGUGAAAUCCCGUAAUCCCGGACGGACCGCCGAUGGCGAAAGCACCUCGGGAAGACGGAUCCGACGGUGAGGGACGAAAGCUGGGGUCUCGAACCGGAUUAGAUACCCGGGUAGUCCUGGCCGUAAACAAUGUCUGUUAGGUGUGGCUCCCGCUACGAGCGGGUGCUGUGCCGUAGGGAAGCCGCUAAACAGACCGCCUGGGAAGUACGUCCGCAAGGAUGAAACUUAAAGGAAUUGGCGGGGGAGCAC
rnacentral:rRNA from 1 species